rnacentral:rRNA from 1 species
ACCCCAGACUCCUACGGGAGGCAGCAGUGGGGGAUAUUGCACAAUGGGGGGAACCCUGAUGCAGCGACGCCGCGUGGGUGAAGGAGUAUUUCGGUAUGUAAAGCCCUAUCGGCAGGGAAGAAGCAAGACGGUACCUGACUAAGAAGCCCCGGCUAACUACGUGCCAGCAGCCGCGGGAAUACGUAGGGGGCGAGCGUUAUCCGGAUUCACUGGGUGUAAAGGGAGCGUAGACGGCCAAGCAAGCCAGGGGGGAAAGCCCGGGGGCCAACCCCGGGACUGCCCUUGGAACUGCGUGGCUGGAGUGCAGGAGGGGCAGGCGGAAUUCCUGGUGUAGCGGUGAAAUGCGUAGAUAUUAGGAGGAACACCAGUGGCGAAGGUGGCUUACUGGACUGUAACUGACGUUGAGGCUCGAAAGCGUGGGGAGCAAACAGGAUUAGAUACCCUCGUAGA